GGGUAUUAAAGAGGAGGUAUUUACAUUUAUGUUGUAUUAAAGAGGAGGUAUUUACAUUUAUGGAGUAUUAAAGAGGAGGUAUUUACUUCUAUGGAGUAUUAAAGAGGAGGUAUUUACUUCUACGGGGUGUUAAAGAGGAGGUAUUUACUUCUGUGGGGUAUUAAAGAGGAGGUAUUUACAUUUAUGGAGUAUUAAAGAGCAGGUAUUUACUUCUGUGGGGUAUUAAAGAGGAUGUAUUUACUUCUGUGGGGUAUUAAAGAGGAGGUAUUUACUUCUGUGGGGUAUUAAAGAGGAGGUAUUUACUUCUACGGGGUAUUAAA
ensembl:lncRNA